rnacentral:rRNA from 1 species
CCCUUAGAUGUCCUGGGCCGCACGCGCGCUACACUGAUGCAUGCAACGAGUUUAUAACCUUGGCCUGAAAGGUCUGGGUAAUCUUUUGAACGUGCAUCGUGAUAGGGAUAGAUUAUUGCAAUUGUUAAUCUUGAACGAGGAAUUCCUAGUAAACGCGAGUCAUCAGCUCGCAUUGAUUACGUCCCUGCCCUUUGUACAAACCGCCCGUCGCACCUACCGAUUGAAUGGUUCGGUGAAGAUCUCGGACUUCGAUAUUUAUUCUUUAUUGAGUUUAUAUUGUGGGAAGUUAUCUAAACCUCAUCAUUUAGAGGAAGGUGAAGUCGUAACA